CAAAAGUGAUGAUGCAAUCCCAGGC
rnacentral:piRNA from 1 species